AGCAGCCGCGGUAAUUCCAGCUCCAAUAGCGUAUAUUAAAGUUGUUGCAGUUAAAAAGCUCGUAGUUGAAUUUCGGGAUCAAUAUGUCGGUCGUGCUUCGGUACGUACUGGCAUCAUUGGUUUCUCCCUUCUGACAAGCCAUGAUGUCAUUAAUUUGGUGUUAUGGGGAGUUAGGACUGUUACUUUGAAAAAUUAGAGUGUUUAAAGCAGGCAUUAGCUUGAAUACAUUAGCAUGGAAUAAUGAAAUAGGACGUUUGACCCUAUUUUGUUGGUUUCUAGGAUCGACGUAAUGAUUAAUAGGGAUAGUUGGGGGCAUUAGUAUUCAAUUGUCAGAGGUGAAAUUCUUGGAUUUAUUGAAGACUAACUACUGCGAAAGCAUUUGCCAAGGAUGUUUUCAUUAAUCAAGGACGAAAGUUAGGGGAUCGAAGACGAUCAGAUACCGUCGUAGUCUUAACCAUAAACUAUGCCGACUAGGGAUCGGAUGAUGUUAAUUUUUAAUGUACUCAUUCGGCGCCUUAAC
rnacentral:rRNA from 1 species